rnacentral:rRNA from 1 species
CGUGCCUAAUACAUGCAAGUCGAACGCAUUGUGGUUGAAAUGAUAUGAAGAACUUGUUCAGAUUUGAUUUUCAACAUUGCAAUGAGUGGCGAACGGGUGAGUAACACGUGGGAAACCUACCUCUUAGCAGGGGAUAACAUUUGGAAACAAUGCUAAUACCGUAUAAUAAUUAAAACCGCAUGGUUUUAGUUUAAAAGAUGGUCUUGCCAUCACUAAGAGAUGGUCCCGCGGUGUAUUAGUUAGUUGGUGAGGUAAUGGCUCACCAAGACAAUGAUACAUAGCCGAGUUGAGAGACUGACCGGCCACAAUGGGACUGAGACACGGCCCAUACUCCUACGGGAGGCAGCAGUAGGGAAUCUUCCACAAUGGACGAAAGUCUGAUGGAGCAACGCCGCGUGUGUGAUGAAGGGUUUCGGCUCGUAAAACACUGUUGUAAGAGAAGAAUGACAUUGAGAGUAACUGUUCAAUGUGUGACGGUAUCUUACCAGAAAGGAACGGCUAAAUACGUG